UCUGCACCGACCCCCCUCUAUCUCCCUCUGUCUGAGCGACAGGAAGCUAACGUUGAAGUUUUACCGCUGCAGCCACUGUCAUACGAGCAGUCUGCCGCUAGAGGGCGCGCCUCACUCACUGUGGGAUACUGCUUCGACAACGAAGAACAACGCAUCUGGGGAAGACGUGUGAACAGGACAGACCAAACAUCCACUGGUUCUGAUGUUGUGGAUGAACGAAAGGCCAGUGGGAAACUCCAUCACGUGGUUAUUGACCGCUUCACCGCCGUGACGGACAGAUGAACGGCCUUCAGGGUACAGGACGUUCCUGAUCAGAGUGACUUUCCCGACCCUCCCCCCACUGCUCUGCAGCCGUGUUGUGAACACAGCAUCAGAAUGACAAUGGAGAGGGAGACAGACAAGAACGUCUGGGGCCUGUCAGGCAGACGGACGGGUUGACACGUUGACAGGCUGACAGUCAAAGGCAUCGAGGGCCGCCAUUGGCCCAAAGGCCCGGGAAGCGAUGUGGUAUUCUGUGGGCAAUUUGGCCUAAGCUGCAGCUGAUCCUCUGAAUGUCACCUACUGAAUACAUUACUCCUGAACAGGAGGCAAUUACAUAAAGCUACUUGUAUGUACAAAUUACAAUCAAUGUCUUAAGCCCCGUCCAUUUCCACUCUACUGCAAGCACAAAUACUAACAAUAUUGAACAUGCUAUUUAAAUAGACUUUUUCCACUCAAACUACCCAGCUUGCAUUAUAACUACUGUAGUUAUAACUAUAACUAGUUUGUCCAUCUGUAUUGGUAGAUAUUAAUAUUACAUAUUAAUAGUAGACUUGACUUAGUCAAGAUGUUUUAAUUCUUUAAACAAAACUAGUAAGUACCUCUCUAAUCGUCAUAUCUUUCCUAAACUGACUCCUGAGGUCUGUUGUGUAAUAUUUUUAUGGUGUGCCCUUUACAUGCUCAGCAACCAACCUAGCACACACACACUGUGGGGUGCCGUAACUGUGUUUUCAGUUUACUGUAUGUGCAUAAAAACAUAAUCCUUACAAGACAUGGACGGUAAAGAGCCUGUUUCUGCUCAGCAUGAAGGUCAGACACAUCUGAGGACCGAUUGGUUUAUAGCUGCUGCAGAACCAGAUAUGUUCUCGUCUCGGUGGAGGAAAACAGAGCUAAAGGGGAGCUGGAAUAUUUGGUUACCUUCCCCUUGAGGACAGAAACAUUACUCCAAACAAACCUUAGAAUGGCUCUCUGUUGGCUGCAUAAGUAAAUAGGCAUCUGUUUGCUACCAGGUUCCCCUCGUCAGCUUUAAAGGUGUUUGAUGAUCCAGAGAGUUGAAGUAAUUUCCAUGUCAUUUGUAUUGCCGGACAGCGUAGAGUAUUGGGAAGCAUGAAAAAUAGACUUGACUUUCUUUGUUUCUUUGCUCCUUCAUUCUUCAGAUGUUUUGAUCCCAAACGAGAGCCAAAAAAAUCAUUCCACACAGAAGAACAAGACAUAAAGCUAUCAGAGGCCAAUAAUUUUUCCCUUCUUCCAUCUCCCAUAAUUACAUUUUAUCUAAUUGCUUCUCUUCUUCACAACAAACGGGUUAAAGGCCCCCCAGAGACCCACAGGAGGAGGGCUCCUCUAGGGAAGCGCACUGUGUCCUGACGCUGGAGUCGACAGAGCUUGGGUGGUUUAAUCAAACACAUGCUUCUGCUAUUUUUCAUCUGGAACUCAUCUGAAUAUUAUCUGCAUACUUUGGAGUUAAAAUAGAAAGGAGGGGAGAUGGAGUCUGUGCAAGUAGAGGGUGAAAAAUAAUUCAGAUAUGACAUUCUGCAUUGAUUUAUAAUGUGAAAUCACAUCUGCAUAGAGGCUCCCCUCCGUUGCGGCGUGUAGGUUAUUGUGUACGUGUCCUCAUGCGGCUGUUUAUGAGAACGCCUUUGCUCAUUGAAGUGCAUGCCGGCGAUAGCGUUAUUGAUUUGCAUGGGUGACUGCGUGUUGGAUUUCAAGGUGGGCUUUCCGUCUCGUCUGUUCCCCUUGGCUGACGGAGCUCCCCCGCAGCUCCGCGUGCACCUUGCACACACCCCGUGUUCUCUAAUUCAUUAGUUUCACUCUCGCACGACUAUCAAACGCCAUCAUCCGGCGUGGAGGCGGCUGCUGAAGCCAGUCUGCAGUUUCACCUUCGGGAGGAAAGUGCACGAUGCAGCAUUCUAAAUGCCAUGCAGAUGUAGAAACCGGAGCUGCAUGAACUGGAGGAACGCGUCUGCAGUAUUGUUAUUGCGCAUGUAUUACAUGGGAUUUCAGGUUGACUGAGUGAUGCUUGACUGGGAGAUUACUCACUAUAACAAUUGCAAACACUAGUCAUAGCCAGGGGUAGUACAGCACAUCUACAUGUACUCCACUAGCUCUAGAGUCUUUGUGGGGAGAUCCUUCUCCUGAUCUGCUUGUUCUGCCCCAAUGUGACAGAUUGAAGGACAGAUUUGAUUCAUUCUGUCUAUACAAUGGCUCGGCUUUGGGGCAAAUAACAUCAUCACCUUCUAAGUGACCUUUUGAACACUGACCCCCUUUUGAACGGUGACCUCCGGCCAGGUUCAAGAGUCACCCCGGCAACGUACAGUAGCAGCCCUGUCAUCAAGGCUCGUUGGGUAACCGCUGACCAGCAAGGAUGUUUGUGUGUCCGUGCGCGCGUCUCUGUGUUUGUUCAAAGUGUGUGAUAGUGUUACAGAAAAGGCUUGUCGAAUGUGACUCACAUAAAAGGUCUGAAGGAGCCUCAGGACACCCAGCUUACCCACACACACACACACACGCACACACACACACAGACCGAUGGUUCCCAUGGUGAAUGUGUUCCAUUGAGUGGGAUUUUCCAGGCGGCGUCCGGAACAGCGGACACUCCAGAGUUUGUCCUGGAAGUUCGCUUUGAUCAAAGUGGGCAGACCGGCCCAAAGGAAUGACAAUUACUGAUCCAUUGCAUGCCCACACACACACACACACACACACACACACACACACACACACACACACACACACACACACACACACACACACACACACGCGCGUAUUUUUCUAUUAUGAGGAUUUCCCUUAACUGAAACAUACCCAACAAAGAGGGUUUUUCCUCAUGCAGCUUUCAGCUUCUUGUAUUAAUGGUUUAAAUGACUUGACUCUUGGUCAUUUAUCAGCCACAGUGUUGGUAACGAUGUGUGCAUCAGUCUUUCUGUGGUUGUCCUACGACACUGGUUUACUGCCCAUUCGUACUGAUAUAUUAGUGUUUUACCAAACUGGCACAUUUUAACAAAUCAAGCAUCUGCAGAGCAGUAACAUGACUCAUCUGGUGUGACGUUUCUGUCUAUCUCAUGAAUUUAGGGCCUUUCCUAAGUUUGUCAUCUGAGUGAACAGAACACACACAGUGAUUUGUGAAAACAGUGGCUGCAACUGUAAAUGGGGGCAGUAUAACAGAAAUAAAGUACAAUAAUGCUCGGAAAGAAAAACAACAGAUGAAGAGUGGUUCACAGUUGGGUGAUAGGACUCUGUGAGAACACCUGGCCCACACACACACACACACACACACGCACACACACCCAUGCACACACGCACACAUGCACGCACACACACUCUUGCACUUGUGUUUAUGAUGACUGUGGAGACAGGGUGGACUAGACACUAGUUAUAAACCUCAGGCUGGCAGAGACAGCAGAUUUUAUAGGCCUGGUGCUGCUUUAUGUGUGUGUUUGGGAGUGAAAAUGCAUGUGACUGCAGAUGUAAUGAGAGUUGGUAUGGUUCUACUUCUACUCUAGUGACACAUUUAUUGUCUGUCUGAAAUCACUGCUCAGAUCUCCGACACGCAACUUGGGCUGAAGUCUGCAUCACGCAAUGUGGACGAGGUGGGGACAGCAGAGACCAGACCUGACCUCAGUCACACUGUAUUAAUCUGUCUCUGUUCUUUCAGUCUCAUCUGGAUCCAAAUAGCUUUUAUAUUAAAUGAUCACUCAGGUACUCGUCUUACAACAGACGUUCUGUAUGAAGUCACAGCUGUGGGAAUUGCAGUGGUAUAAUUGCGAGGACCUGGAAAUGAGAUUGAAUGACUGAAGCAGACAUACAGUGCAGCAUGAAUUGCCUGCGAAUGCCAGAGCCAAACCCCAGGAAGGAGUCGACCAGGAAGGAAUCAGAAGGGUCAGGGGUCAAAUAACAAAGAUAUAAAUGAAUUUGGCAGAUGGAAACAGUUUGAUUACCGCAUACCCAAAAUGAAGAAUGAAGUAAUCAAAAGCAGCAGAUGUGCUUUGGUUUGGAAAAUUCUUACUCGUACAAUUUCAAAUGUAAUCUAAACAUUUUCAGUUCACUAAGUAAUUAUCUGAUGCAAAUUUGUAAUGAUAAUAAUACUUCUAAGAGCAUUGCUCCAUGAUAAAUGGUUACACACCCUUCUAUUACUGUAGGUUCAUCACACAUAAUCUUUCUUUAUAUUUCCAUCAGUUGGAAACAUGUCUGUGAAUGGAAGUGGCCGUGUUCAAAUGACGGCAGUGCGCUGGCACUGAUCUCCUCUGUGUCAUAACCUCACUUUCUGCGUGAGGGAAAAUUUCCUGUAACAUUACCCUGAAAUACAUACUUGAUGUCUGGGAAAUGUUUUGAGAAUGUCACAUCUCGGUCUUCCUACAGACGCACAUUUAACCCGCGAAAAUAAAAAUGUCAGCCGCUCAAAAAGGCAGAGCUGGAUGUGAAUGAGAGGUCAUGUUGAUCUUUGCAUGUCUGUCUGUCUCCUCCUCUUCCACCAUCCUUCCAUGUUUGUAUGGGAACAGAGCCGCCUCUAUUUCUCCAAGUGGUAAUUUCCUCCGUAUUGACUGACGCGUCCUGUUAAAGUUAUGACAAAAGGGUCAGUUAUCACACGUUCACCUGCAGGGACUGGAUGACAGGUGAGGUCAGCUUUGGUUGAUCAGAGCCCUGUAUGUUAGGACAAUAAAAUAUAUUAUUAAUAUCAACUUCAGUAUUUAUUAGUUCUAAUAUCAGUUGAAAUGUGUCAACAUUUAAAGAGGUCUCAUAUGUUUAUACACUUUACUACAGUACAGUGAAUUUUCAGUGAGUUCAGUAACUGUUUAUUACAAACUCUGGUUUUAGAGGGAGAGUUAAUUAUUGGCCAGAAAAUAUUUGUGCUUUUAUUAAACUGACCCUUUAGGCUUUUAACUUUUCAAAACAAGCGUUCAUAAUUGGUCAUCAUGUUGUUGUUAAGUCCAGAUUGCCUUUGUCUCCACUUAAUUUGUUCGUAUUUGUUUCCAUUUAGAAACGCUUCAUAAAACGCACGACAAGCCACGCUAACACAAGCGCAUUUUUCCCCAUUUAAUUGGGCUCCAUAGCUGUUUCCUAAGUUUUCCGUGCGCUUAAAAACAAAAAAGAGCUGCCUCAGCUGGUGAUUCGAUCCUCUCGGCGGCGAACUGGGCAAAUGACCAGAUUCUCUGCUUUGAUACGUACAAGCUGUAUCUGAGAGUGUUGCUCAAAGGCAGCGUCCGCGUGGGAGCAUGCAGAUGUCUCGCACAUGCUUCAGUCCCGUAAGGUGAUAUUUAUAAGUGAACAAGUCUCAAGUCUGAACAAGAGAAAUUUGUUCAGAGCGUAAAUCUUGAUAUGAAUUUGUAAUUACAGUUGUUCGGUGGUACAAUCAUGUUGUAACGGUGUUCUGUUAAUUAUCUGACCAACCUCUGGAUGUUAUUGUUGUAACAGGAGACAGAGCCCUCAAGGCUUCUUAUCGUGGACAUCAGCAGGUGGGCUCUUUAUUCUAUAGAGACACACACACACACACACACACACACACACACACACACACACACAGGCGAGCAUGCAAAUACACAUAAACAGACUGAAACCUCUGCACAAAUGGCCCCAGGUUAAAUACCUGAGAACUAAGAACCGCAAUAAGAACCAGCAUCUACCCCCAACCUAGAGACACACACACACACACAUACACACACACACACACACACACACACACACACACACACACACACACACUGGGUCUCACACACAUUCACUCUCACAUACCUAAGAGUAAAGCGAGCGUAACCGUGCACUUGCAACUGAAGCUCCCCACCCCUCUCCCUGACUUUAAUCUGAUUUCACGUGCAGUAAUACAGAAUCACACGCGUGGUGCACAUGCAUAGUACACACACUCCAAGCGCACGCACACACCUGUUGAAGCUUGUGUAAACACCUGCCAGCAGUCCGUCGGCUGAGAUGAAUCCAGACGAAACAGUUCCUUACAGUUCCCCUCAUCGUCUGCACGUCUCAGCAUCAGCUCCCUCCACACCGCCGUGUGCUGAUGGCCCUGUUUUUGAUUCUGCAUUCGAAUGCAAGCCUCUAUCGUUCCACGCGAUUGCUGCACGCCUUCUGCGCCGUUACCCAAGCCUCCAAAGAACCCGCGCGGGCGAUUCCAGCGGCGGCGGCGGCACCGCACAGGAUGCAGGGUGGGGAUUUUCUGCAGUGGCUACCACAAAAGAGUGGGGGCCGUGAUUAUGAUGAAAGCCUAUUUCAUGCUCUCCACGGCCUGUUUCCAAACCUCCGGUUCACUCAAGGUAUCCUAGGGCUCAUAGACGCUGGGGCCAGCUUGUGGGUCCAAGAAUGAGGCGAGUGCUUCCAGGAGUUUCAGCUGCUUUGUGGGAGUUAUCCGUGUCUCAUCCACAUGUUUUAUGUAAACAUUCACAUCCUUUUUGUACAAAACGCUACAAGGUUAUUUACAUUUUAAAGUGAUAGUUAUUUAGUUUUGUGCCAGGUAUGAGAGGGAGACUCCUGUUAACUUUGUAUUCUGCUGCGCCCUCAAACAGAUUUUUAACAGCGGAGGCUGCUGCAUAAUGUUCAUUUCUGCAAAAUCUCAAAGCCAGUAUCUCACUGGAGCUGUCAGCACAGCUGCCUGCUGUGCCAUCCACCGCUGCUCCCAAAAUAUACGAGGAGUCGGCUUUUAAUGUAGUUACUUAAUGUUCAUGUGAACCUCAUUAAAUCUGCCUAAUCUUUUGAAGAAUUUAAAAAACAGAACAUAAAUGUACGUUUAUGAAUAUGCAAAUUCCAAAGGGCUUUGUAACUUAAAGUCACAACAGGAAGAUGCACGAAGAUGAGGAGGUCCACUUUGACGCAUGCUGACCAAGGCAAAGCCUCAGCAUUGGUCCUGUAGCUCUCAGUUAUCAGUCUGUGAAGAUGGUGACAUUCAGAGAAUUUUUAUAGAUUGGUCAAAUUUUUGCUGAGAACAAUCAUGUGAGAAUAAGAUUGGUGAUUUCUAAAAUCAGGUCUAAUUUUCCCCUAAUUCUUCACACUCAGAGCAAGAUUCCUACUCAUGAUGGCCAUGACAGCGGCCUGAAGGCAGCAUCCGCUGCUGCUUCUAGCUGCACACCCAAAUCCUGUUUUCAUUUGCAAGUGAUUUUGCAUUCUUUCCUCAGACAGGAGGUCAGGAUGAGAAGCCACGAAGGGGAACAGAUACUUUAAUGCUAGUAUUAAGAGCCCAAUAAUGACACAGGCAGGCUUUGGCCCUAGUCUGCAGGGAUGCAUGUGCUGGGCAGGGCAGCGUAGAUAGAAUCAUUAGGAUGUGCUUUGCUACUGUCUCUCUCGUGCUGCUGCUGCUGUUGAGGAUGCUGAUUGACAGUCCAGCGCAGCGGGAGGUGAGGUCACGCGUCUGGGAUGAGAUUCAUUUAGCUUCAUUUCCAUAUCAAUCUGCUGAGCUAAGGACUGGGAUUAUGUGGAAGGUGUAAUUUCAUUGCUGUUGGUGGCGCGGUGUGAAUGUAUUUCUGGCUGUGUGUUUUCCAAAUGAAGGAUGUUAAUUUCUGCCGUCAAGCAGCGAGCGCACGGGCGCGCGCAUGUGUGCGAGACAGGAACCGAGAUCUUCCUCCUAAACGAUAUGAAGUUUGACAUUUCAUUUACUGCCCCUGACCGGCGAGGUUAAUAAUGCUACCCCAAAGCAAUCAGGGCUAACCACACACACACACACACACACACACACACACACACACACACACACACACACACACACACACACACACACACACACACACACACACACAGCCGUAUACUGUACACAAAGCCUGCAUGAACAAACACACAUACACAACAUUCAAAUAUUCAAAUCAUGCCGCUCUAGUUAAGUGGCCAUAAAUAAGAUGUCAUUUUAAACCAGGAAUUUAAACCAUCUCAAUCUCAUCUGUUCAGCAAGAGCUCCUAACACAAACGCACGCACACACACACACACACACACACACACACACACACACACACACACACACACACACACACACACACACACACACACACUCACACACACACACACACACAUAUUGCCAUAUAUUUGAAUGGAGCCCUCCUGCACAAUACCACAGCUUACAUUGCCAGUACUUCUUUCUCACACACACACACACACACACACACACACACACACACACACACACACACUGGUGCAACACUUCUGCUGUGUGUGUGUACUGUGGUGAUCGCAUGGAGGACCAGGACAAAUGGGAGGAUCUCCUGUAAUAAAGAUGCCUGUUACAGGUAAAGACAGUGACA